GAGGGUAUAGCUCCUGGGUAGAGCACAUGCUUAGCAUGCACGAGCUUCUGGGUUCAAUCCCCAGUACUUCCA
rnacentral:tRNA from 1 species